GAUGAACGCUGGCGGCGUGCCUAAUACAUGCAAGUCGAGCGAACGGACGAGAAGCUUGCUUCUCUGAUGUUAGCGGCGGACGGGUGAGUAACACGUGGAUAACCUACCUAUAAGACUGGGAUAACUUCGGGAAACCGGAGCUAAUACCGGAUAAUAUUUUGAACCGCAUGGUUCAAAAGUGAAAGACGGUCUUGCUGUCACUUAUAGAUGGAUCCGCGCUGCAUUAGCUAGUUGGUAAGGUAACGGCUUACCAAGGCAACGAUGCAUAUCCGACCUGAGAGGGUGAUCGGCCACACUGGAACUGAGACACGGUCCAGACUCCUACGGGAGGCAGCAGUAGGGAAUCUUCCACAAUGGGCGAAAGCCUGACGGAGCAACGCCGCGUGAGUGAUGAAGGUCUUCGGAUCGUAAAACUCUGUUAUUAGGGAAGAACAUAUGUGUAAGUAACUGUGCACAUCUUGACGGUACCUAAUCAGAAAGCCACGGCUAACUACGUG
rnacentral:rRNA from 1 species